rnacentral:pre_miRNA from 1 species
CGUGCACCAGUGGGGUCUCUCGGCCUGGCCUGCGCCCUCUAGCAAUCCGGGACCCCUCGGGGGAUGUUGGAGAGCCGGUUUCGGCCCGAUCCCGCAGGCCAGGCCGAGGGACCCCACUGGUGCACA